GCUCCUUAGAAGAGGUUAAUACGCCUUCAUAAAACGUGAAAAACGCUGCCAGAACAAAUCGGAGUCACCCCGAGCCUCCAUCCUGCUCUCCCACCCGGGCCCUGGGAGAGACAACAGCGGGAACACAGUGUCACGCAGAGGUCCUGAUACACUGUCUCUGUGUCAGCACUUGAUCUCUGAAGACCGCAGAGGUCCUCCGGGUCUCCCAGAUCUCGCUUGCAUUAUUUAAGCCGAUUGUCUGCAGAAUUGAACCGACCUACUCAGGGCACAGUUUCCACGCUCGGCUCUAACCCUAGAACCCACUGGAUACGCGGUGAAAGGUAAUGAGUUUUAGAUAAAGGGUAGAAAACGGUCAGUGGUGCAAAUACCGCGUAAUUACAGCAAACUCUGCACACCACUAUUUUAAUACCGGAUUUGCAGGAAUAUCAUACUCUCGUACAGGGGUCUUCGACCGUCGCGUUAGCGUUAAUAAUCGGCGCUAGGUUACACGCUCAUGCUACAAAAUAAACGAGGCCUGUAAGAUUUAUUCAGACGUCGCAGUGGAUGGCCCCAGGCAUUUCAGAAUAACAGGGAAAAAUCUCACUGCCCCUGCUUAAGAUCACCACGAGGUCUGCUGCCCACAUCAAGAAUAUAUCGACCGCACAGUGUCGCAGUGCUACCUGUGUGUACAGUAGCAUUUGGCCGAGUCCUUCAGCAGAUGGAUAGGAGUUUAACACUGACACCCUGUGGCUGCCGAAGCGCAAUGGGAGUAACUAGUGAAAUACGGCGUCAGCCCUGCCUUCGGAACAAAACCAACUUGAGUUCUGCCUCGCAAAAAUGGAAUUGGCGUUAGCAGUAAAAACGUUU